UCUGCCAUCUUCCCUCUCUUCGGGUUCACCCCAUCCCCUCUCGUUUUUAUACUUUCCCCACCUAAAAGCACCCAAGAUUCUCCAUCUUGAUCAGUGCCGAUGAAAAUCUUGUUGUCAGCGACGGGAAUCGCCAACAUCAUGAUGCCCAAACGGAUCCACAGUGUGCAGCCAUUAAAAUCGGCUACCAAUCUGCCGACGGAUUUCCCCUGCUCGGCGUGCAUCGCCAGAAUCUGGAGUCCAGCUGAACGAUUUUUAUACCCAACAACGUCAAGAAUCCCAACAAAGGAACGACAGAAACAACGCACCCAUCGAUUCUCUCUGUUCUCUCAACCGUGCAGCCAUUGAAUCCGGUCGCCGCCCAUUGAAUCCGGUCGCCGCCGGGCCGACGGCCAAUAUGCUCCAUCCCAGACGUGCGACCCGAACGACCAAGUUUUCUUGGCAUUCCAGCAAAUUCAUGGAGGACUCUUUCCUUGCCAAACGCCACCUGCCGAGCGGCCGGAGACUGUGACACCACAAUAGCACGGAGGACUCUGGAAUCUGCCUUCGAAGGCGAGCGAAGCAUCUCGGACGAUCGUCUUCGGUUCUUUUCUCGGCCAGCUGAGGACGUCCUGGUCAACCAUUUGUCAAUCAAAUGGCUGUGUUGCACGUCUUGGUCAACCAUUUGUCAAUCAAAUGGCUGUGUCCAACAAGAUGCAAAACACGAUAUAGACUGACCUGAUCUUGGCGUGAUUUUUUAACAAUGAAAAGUCCACUUGAACUGGUCGACAUAAUCUCGUUUAUCCUUGAUAUUGAGAUCUCCAAACUAGCAUCUCCGUAAUUCGGACCAGUCAGUUUUGUUGGCGUUUGAUAAUGUUUUUGAAGAAUCCAAACAGAUGGAUGCAUGGAUUCUAUGUGUCCAGAAACAAUCAAAAUCAAUAGUGUCAGCUUUCUCACCCCACAAGGUCAAGGUAAAAUCUAAUCUAAAGGUGAGCAGGGUGAGGACCAUCUCAUAUGGUGCCAAUUUCAGAUGGGCUCAAACUUUAAAUAAGGAUGUCUCAGGUAAUUUCUUGGCCAUUUAACUUGAUCAUCUUUGUCUUAGCCAUAAUGUUUGUAUAUAGUUCAACAUUCUUGUUGGGAAUAUGUAUCCUUUGAACCAUCCAAUUGUUUAUAAAUUUAUAUUGAUGGCAUGCUGACAUUGCAAAGCACCUUCCUACUAAAAGACUCACCACUGUAUCAUUUCAUGGUGACAAUCUUCUACAUCAGGAAGCCCUAGCUCAUUUGUAGACUGUAUUUUCAAGUCCUUUUGUUUUCUAAGAUCUAACAGUUUUAGGGUAGUAGACACAUGCAGCCCGAUGCCAUUACCAUGUUGGCAAAAAGUUAAGAAGUGAGGGAAAAAGGCUGAGAGGCCGAGUUCCUCCAGCUGGCUGGAGGCCUCUGACGCAUGAAGCGCAAUGCCAUUGGCUGUGUGUAUUAGCGGCCAGAUGGUCAUAUAUGGGCAGAUCUAUGCUGUGAUGGAUGUUGUCUGAUCAUUAGAAAUUAAAAAUCUGUCACUAAAAGCACUAUUAAUGGUUACUAAAACAUUAUGAACCAUCGUUUCAUCGUAAACCAUCAUACAUGCUCAUGUGCAAAUAUUUUUUAGUCACACGCGCUCAAAGAGCAUGUAAAUAUAUUAUUCAAUGAUGUUGAUCGGAUAACAUUUUUCCAGCUAUGGAAGGAGAGAAAAUGAUUCUUAUAGCAUUCACAAGAGAGGGGGGAGAGAACCAAAUGUUGUCACAAGUGUCUUGUGGCUUAUUAAAUAUUCUAAUAUAUUUGUUGAUUAGUUUCUAAAUAAAAAAGAAGAUUUUAUCUUUUCUUUUGUUUGGGUCCAUAAUUACGAAUCCAAUUUUAGUUUAUAUGAUGGUGCUUAGGGGCUGAGAUGAAUUUUAAUGAAACCCAAAUCUUCUUUAGUUUUUUCCUUCGUAUAGUUAUUUUGGUUUAGUUUUUUGCAUUGAUCUUUAUUCUUUUUAAUAUGUUCUUUUUAGCACUGCAACUUGUAUCAAAGUUUAGGUUUUUCUUUCCUUAUCCUAUUAAUCAUAGUGGCAUACAAUUUGAGGAAGAGUCCUGAAAGCUAGUCGAGAAGUGUUGGGAGAUCACAUUUCUUUACUAACAAAGUCAAUGAACAUGACGCAAGAAAAUAUGCAAUCAAUGUUCAACAACAUGCAAGAGUGUUCAAGAGAAUACGAUUGUGGUGCAAGACAAAAUGCAGUUGAUGGCUGAUUCUGUGGGGAGUCCGGAUGCAAUAUGCAAAAUGAACAACUAGAAUAACAAGCAUGUACAAGCAUGUUGAGGCGAGAGAAAACUCAGGUGCGGGAAAGAUAUUGUGGAAAAACUUAAAAAGAAUAGUGGAGGAUCAGGUUGAGGGUGUGGAUGAAGGAAGGGAACAAAGAACUAAGGGUGAGGGAGGGAGCAAAACAACCAGUUCCUCAACUCACCAAUAAGAAUGGGAAGGAGAAGGUAGAACAAUUGAUUGCCCAAACUAACCACCACUUUACAUGGAACAACUGUUGGACCAGAAAAAAGAUGCAACCAUUGAUGGGUGGUGGCUGGAUGGAUUGAAUCCUGGUGGGCAUGGCUGGACUUAUGCAAAAAAACAAGGGCAAACAGACUUUAUUUUAACCCCCCAGGUCAUGCGAGUCCGGUCUGGGCUCGCUUUUAUGACCCUAGGUUGAAGCUCGGCCAUAGGUGGCGGCACUACGUUGCAGCCAUGCUUGGGCACAAGCCACACCCAGAACACCGAGCUGGCCUUUCUUCGCCUCCAUGACGGCCUUAGAUCCCACUGUUGGGUUUGGGGCUUUGGGCAGAUGGGUUUGCCGAAGGUGUGAGAGUUGGCUCUAGGGGUGGGCAUCGGGCUGGGUCGGCCCGUCGGUCCCUUAACCCUGGCCUGGCCUGAUGGGGGAAAGAAGG